AUUGAACGCUGGCGGCAGGCCUAACACAUGCAAGUCGAGCGGAUGAAGGGAGCUUGCUCCUGGAUUCAGCGGCGGACGGGUGAGUAAUGCCUAGGAAUCUGCCUGGUAGUGGGGGAUAACGUCCGGAAACGGGCGCUAAUACCGCAUACGUCCUGAGGGAGAAAGUGGGGGAUCUUCGGACCUCACGCUAUCAGAUGAGCCUAGGUCGGAUUAGCUAGUUGGUGGGGUAAAGGCCUACCAAGGCGACGAUCCGUAACUGGUCUGAGAGGAUGAUCAGUCACACGGGAAGUGAGACACGGUCCAGACUCCUACGGGAGGGAGCAGUGGGGAAUAUUGGACAGGGGGCGAAAGCCUGAUCCAGCCGUGCGGGGGGUGAGAAGAAGGUCUUCGGAUUGUAAAGCACUUGAAGUGGGGAGGAAGGGCAGUAAGUUAAUACCUUGCUGUUUUGACGUUACCAACAGAAUAAGCACCGGCUAACUUCGUG
rnacentral:rRNA from 1 species